AUUGAACGCUGGCGGCAUGCUUUACACAUGCAAGUCGAACGGCAGCGCGGGAUUAGGCCUGGCGGAGAGUGGCGAACGGGUGAGUAAUGCAUCGGAACGUGCCCAGUAGUGGGGGAUAGCCCGGCGAAAGACGGAUUCAUACCGCAUAAGCCCAGAGGGUGAAAGCGGGGGACCGGAAGGCCUCGGGACCUUGGAGCGGCCGAUGUCGGAAUAGCUAGUUGGUGGGGUAAAGGCUUACCAAGGCGACGAUCCGUAGCUGGUCUGAGAGGACGACCAGCCACACUGGGACUGAGACACGGCCCAGACUCCUACGGGAGGCAGCAGUGGGGAAUUUUGGACAAUGGGGGCAACCCUGAUCCAGCCAUGCCGCGUGCGGGAAGAAGGCCUUCGGGUUGUAAACCGCUUUUGUUCGGGAAGAAAUCCUCUGGGCUAAUACCCCGGGGGGAUGACGGUACCGGAAGAAUAAGCACCGGCUAACUACGUG
rnacentral:rRNA from 1 species